GAUAGAUACCCGGGUAGUCCAUGCCGUAAACGUUGGGCACUAGGUGUGGGGGACCAUUUCCACGGUCUCCGUGCCGCAGCUAACGCAUUAAGUGCCCCGGCCUGGGGAGUACGGCCGCAAGGCUAAAACUCAAAGGAAUUGACGGGGGCCCGCACAAGCGGCGGAGCAUGCGGAUUAAUUCGAUGCAACGCGAAGAACCUUACCAAGGCUUGACAUGCACCGGAAACACUCAGGGAUGGGUGCCCCGCAAGGUCGGUGCACAGGUGGUGCAUGGUUGUCGUCAGCUCGUGUCGUGAGAUGUUGGGGUUAAAGUCCCGCAACGAGCGCAACCCUCGUCCCAUGUUGCCAGCGGGUUAUGCCGGGGACUCAUGGGAGACUGCCGGGGUCAACUCGGAGGAAGGUGGGGAUGACGUCAAAUCAUCAUGCCCCUUAUGUCUUGGGCUUCACGCAUGCUACAAUGGCCGGUACAGAGGGCUGCGAUACCGCGAGGUGGAGCGAAUCCCGACAAAGCCGGUUCUUGGUUCGGAUUGGAGGUCUGUAAACCG
rnacentral:rRNA from 1 species